AAAACAUCUUUUUUAGAUUUUAUUUUAAAUUUGACCUGCCCAAUGAUUAAUUUAAUGGCCGCGGUAUUUUGACUGUGCAAAGGUAGCAUAAUCAUUAGUUUAUUAAUUGUGGACUAGUAUGAAUGGUUGGACGAAAUAUUAACUGUCUUUAUUUAAAGUUUAAAAUUUAAAUUUUAAGUUAAAAUGCUUAAAUGUAUUUAUUGGACGAGAAGACCCUAUAGAUCUUUAUUUUUAAUUUGGUUUAUUUAAUUUAGUUUAUUUUAUAUGGAUUAAUUUAUUUAUUUUAUUGGGGUGAUAUGAAGAAUUAUAUAACUCUUUAUUUUUAUUUAUAUUUAUUUAUAAUUAAUUGACCUUUUAUUAAUGUUAUAAGACAUAGAUACCUUAGGGAUAACAGCGUAAUUCUUUUUGAGAGUUCUUAUUGACAAAAGUGAUUGCGACCUCGAUGUUGGAUUAAGAUUAUAAUUAGGUGUAGGUGCUUAAUUGGUAGGUCUGUUCGACCUUUAAAUUCUUACA
rnacentral:rRNA from 1 species